rnacentral:rRNA from 1 species
CAGUCGCCGCGGUAAUACGUAGGGGGCAAGCGUUAUCCGGAAUUACUGGGUGUAAAGGGAGCGUAGACGGUUAAACAAGUCUGAAGUGAAAUGCCGGGGCUCAACCCCGGAGCUGCUUUGGGAACCGUAGAACUGGAGUGUCGGAGGGGUAAGCGGAAUUCCCAGUGUAGCGGUGAAAUGCGUAGAUAUUGGGAGGAACACCGGCGGCGAAGGCGGCUUACUGGACGACAACUGACGUUGAGGCUCGAAGGCGUGGGUAGCAAACAGGAUUAGAUACCCCAGUAGUCCCUGUCUCUUAUAC